rnacentral:lncRNA from 1 species
ACAAAUAAUACCUUCUGUCUAUCACUGAUAAAUGUAAAGUUGGAGUUUCUAGCCAACUCCAAAUCGCCUCCUACGCAUUCAAGAAACCAAGUCCAAGAGCUAAGAGUCUCUGCCUCUACAACUGCAUAAACAAGUGGGUAGAUUCCAUUGUUCGGGUCAAUACCCACUGCUGUUAACACCUGACUCGGGAAGGGACCUUUCAUGAAAGCUCCAUCUAGACCCAACAAGUCCCUACCUAUUGCUUUAAACCCCUGUUUCAAAGCCCCCAAGCAUACAUAGAUCCGCUUGAAUAUUCUCUUUCUAGAUUUUGGGUUCCUUACUGGUUCAACCUCUAUCUUGACAGUUGAACCUGGGUUUCUAUUAAGAAGUUCAUUGGCAUAAUCUCUAAGCCGAACAUAUUGUGUAACGUAAUCUCCUUGUACUUGUUUCUUAGCUUUGAUCUUGGCCCUGUAUGCUUUCAUCUUGGAUACCGCUAAUUCAUAUCUCCUUUGAAAUUGUUCUUGAACUGCUUUCACAGAAAGUGGAUGUGCAAGCAUAAAUGUUUCUAGUUUGAAGGCAUUUAUGUUCUGUAAUCAAAGUCUUCACCAUCCAAGAUUCACUUUGACCAUCUUUUGAAAUUAAAACCACCCAAGGGCAUUGAUAUUUGGCCUAGAUAGAAAUUGACAGUGGUUUCAUUUGACUUUCUAAGAUAAUUUAAUUGGCGUCUCCUAAUACUUGUUGCAUUCUCAUCGGAUUCUGAGCCACUGUCAAAAGCCUCAUUGUCCAAAACCUCAUCCUCUUCUUCAAUAUCUCUUAGAACACCUAUGUUAAUGUCCUCUACAUCCAAGUCAACAUGUAACCUAAAAUCCCUCAUGUCUACUUCAGGAUCAUCAUGCCUAUUAGCGUUAUCAACUAUAUAGUCACUAUCAUCCUCAUCAAGCACACUAUCAUAAACAUUGGUUUCACUCUCAACAUGAAUAAUGCUUCCCUCCUUAACAGGAUAAUGAUCAUCAGUUUCUGAAUUGACACAAUCAUACAUAAAUACAUAAAGUUAAUAAAUAAAGUUAGAUUCAGAAUACAUAAAGAUAAAACUACGAUGGAAUCAGUUUCUGAAUUGAACACAAGAUAUUAUGAAAACUACAAUGGAAUCAAUAGAUAAAACUACGAUGAUGUUGGAAGCUUACCAUAAAUUUCAUCCAUGUCGUUUUGUUCUAGGGCUUGUUGCAUGUAGAAGACACCACUGAAAGGUUUCGUUUUUUUGUAGGGUUUUUAGAGGAAUAGGAACAAUCAGAUGAUGUUAUGAGAGAGUUUUUUUGAGAGGAAUACGAACAAUCAACUGCUAUUAUGAGAUGGGUUUUUAGAGAUUAUUUAUUUAGUUUUUAAAUGUAUAAUUUAGAUGAAAAGACCAUAUUGCCCUCAUGUUAGAGGCACAUAGUAAGACUUAACCAAAAAAUUAAACUAGGUUAGCACUAAAGGACAUAGGGUGCUAAAAACUUAUAGCAUAAAGGACGGCGCCUGUAAUAUCUUUAGUUAAAGGACACCGGUUGUAAUAUGGUACAAACGUAAAGGACACCGGUUGUAAUUUACUCUAGAUCUAUUCAACACGUGUAAUAUACGAGGUUUUUAAGGAUGUACUUUUUUAUUAUUUGGUAGAUUUAUUCAACCCAAUUAUACAAGGUUUUUUAAAGAUACGACGUUUUUAGUAUUUAGUAUACAAAAUUAUAUUUAUUUAAUCUGUGUAAUAUAUAUGGUUUUUAAAGAUAUAACUUUUUUUAUUAUUUGAUAUAUAAAAUUACAUUUAUUUAAUCCGUACAAUAUACGGGGCUCACAAACAUAUAACUUUUUAGUAUUUAUAUAAAAUUCAUUUACUCAACCCGUGUAAUAUACAAGGUUCUAGCAUAGUAUGAACAUAUACAUAACAAAAGGAAAAACUAUAAAAUUAAACAUGACAGUCUCUCUACAUUUGAUUUUGAUGAUGCACAAAUUGUUAUUUAACAUGAAACGUUUCAAAUAACUAACAAGCAACUAAUGGCUAUCAUUACUAUUAUUAUAAUAUCUUGAAAUCAAAUACCGAGGAAACUCAGUCGAGGCAUUUUAAACACAGAAAUUGUUGAUAUUUUACGAAACAAAAUGAUAAUAAUGUUGCAGCAUGUGUAAUGGGUCCAUAGUAGAAUGAAUAUAA